rnacentral:rRNA from 1 species
CUACGGGCCGCAGCAGUGGGGAAUAUUGCACAAUGGGCGCAAGCCUGAUGCAGCCAUGCCGCGUGUAUGAAGAAGGCCUUCGGGUUGUAAAGUACUUUCAGCGGGGAGGAAGGGAGUAAAGUUAAUACCUUUGCUCAUUGACGUUACCCGCAGAAGAAGCACCGGCUAACUCCGUGCCAGCAGCCGCGGUAAUACGGAGGGUGGCAAGCGUUAAUCGGAAUUACUGGGCGUAAAGCGCACGCAGGCGGUUUGUUAAGUCAGAUGUGAAAUCCCCGGGCUCAACCUGGGAACCGCAUCUGAUACUGGCAAGCUUGAGUCUCGUAGAGGGGGGUAGAAUUCCAGGUGUAGCGGUGAAAUGCGUAGAGAUCUGGAGGAAUACCGGUGGCGAAGGCGGCCCCCUGGACGAAGACUGACGCUCAGGUGCGAAAGCGUGGGGAGCAAACAGGAUUAGAUACCCCUGUAGUC